UACGUAGGGGGCUAGCGUUGUCCGGAUUUAUUGGGCGUAAAGAGCGUGUAGGCGGCCUGGUAGGUCUGCUGUGAAAACUCGAGGCUCAACCUCGAGAUGUCGGCGGAAACCAUCUGGCUAGAGUCCGGAAGAGGAGAGUGGAAUUCCUGGUGUAGCGGUGAAAUGCGCAGAUAUCAGGAGGAACACCGGUGGUGUAGACGGCUUUCUGGACCGACACUGACGCUGAGACACGAAAGCGUGGGUAGCAAACAGG
rnacentral:rRNA from 1 species